CAGGAGUCAUAUGACUGACGGAUGUGGAGAACCACAGGGGAGUAUGACGGAAAAAGCCGACCGUCUGGGCAGAACAG
rnacentral:ncRNA from 1 species